UUGACUCGACAUCAGCUGUCGAAUGAAUGACACGGCCAAUAUCUGGUUAGAUGUCGAAAUAACGCUAACCUAUGGAAAGCCAAAGGGGACCCCCGCUAAAAUACAUAUAUUUAUAUAGUAAAUGUCGGGAUUUUCAUUUUUCGCGGAACUUUCACUUUCCGCGAAAAACCAAGGCCAGCCAUAAAAUACUACAUACAAAUCUAAAUCUAAAAAGCGCGGAACAUUACUAUAUUUUCCGUCGGAACAAUUAUCUUUCAACCCCGUAGAGAAAGCGGGCUCAAAUAAUCGCGCGGAACCUUAAUAUUAUCUACUCUGUACAAAUAGUAGUGUAUAAAAUCGCGCGGACCUAAUCCACAAAGCGCGGAACACAAAUAUCUUCCGCGAAAAUUAAGCAUUGAAUUACUGUACAAAUCUCGGGUUGCUAUGUAAAUUGCGGGUUGCUAAUGAAAAAUCGCGCGGAAGAUUCAUUACUCCGCGCGAUUUUCAAUAGCAUUGAAUUACUGCACGAAAUUCGGGUUGCUAUGUGGUUACGCGAUAAAAUUUGAUUGGUUCCGAUACCUAGAAAGAACCAAUCAAAACUCGCGUCUUAUCCAGCAUUCAUGCAGCCAUCAUGAUGACGGUUGUUUCACAUUAACACAAAACCUUUCAAAGAGUGAUCAUUUUUGAUGACAUUAGCAAUGAGCUGUAGCAGUGUUCCCAUCUUGAACAUCUUCUGUGUAUCUGUGGGGCAGAGCCAGCUUGCCCAUCUGACCUCUGUUGUGGACAACCGAGUCAGAGCCAGUUUGCAUGUCAUCUGUUGUGGACAUCCGUGUUAGAGCCAGCUUGCACGUCCUCUGUUGUGGACAUCCGUGUUAGUGCUAGCUUGCACGUCAUCUGUUGUGGACAUCCGUGUUAGAGCCAGCUUGCACGUCAUCUCUUUUGGACAUCAGUGUUAGAGCCAGCUUGCACAUCCUCUGUUGUGGACAUCCGUGUAAGUGCUAGCUUGCACGUAAUCUGUUGUGGACAUCUGUGUUAGAGCCAGCUUGCACGUCAUAUGUUUAGGACAUCAGUCAGAGAUAGCUUGCAUGUUAUUUACUUGUCGACAUUAGUCAGAGCCAGCAAGGACAAUCUCUGUUGUGGAUAUCUGUCUUAGAGCUUGCACGUCAUCGGUUGUUCACAUCCUUGUAAUAACCAGCUUGCACAUCAACUGAUGUGGAAAUCUGAGUCAGAGCCAGCUUGCACAUCAUCCGUUGUGGACAUCUCUUUAUGAUUCUACUCUUUGCUUAGAUUGACACUGUGACUUUAGUUUAAUAUGUUACAACCUUAAGCUAUUCCUAUUGUUGAAUACAAAUAUUGGGUCAUUAAAAUAUAUUUUGUUGGAUAAUUUGUAUGUUGAGUUGUAUUGUUUGGUCAUUGCAAAGUAUCAAGUUAUUUUAAGACAAGAAAAAGCUCAUCUUUCAUCAUGUAUUUAUUUUAAAAUUCUUGAAUGUUAGUGAAGGGACAGUUCAUAUAAUUAAAAGCAAUUGUAAUAUAAUUGCUUGUGUUUUAUUGCACAGUGAAUACCAUCUUGUCUUUAUGCUGUUAUAUAGAACGGAGAAAUAGUAAUCUGUCGUUUUUAUAUGCAAUGGGAUUGUAUAUCAAGACUUGUAUGUUCAUAUGAAAAAAUUGCCAUAAUUUUUCUCUUUAUAUUUUAUUCCUGCUAAAUGGUUGAUGCAAUAAAGUUAAGUCUUUAA